rnacentral:lncRNA from 1 species
CUUAUACUCUCAUAAACUUAAAUCGAAAUACAAAAGAUUAAAAACCUAAUAUAUUUCUAUUUUCCGAAAAGGAACUAUAAUUUAUCAGUCAAUACUUUUCCUUUAUAAAACUAAAUUAUAAAAAGGGAGGAACCAUCAGAAACCAAAAAUUAUCCCCAGUAGCAAAAAUAGCUAUACGGUCCGCAUCAUGGUUCAAUCUUCUCUUCAAAGAAGAUCGCAUCAUUUGGUUCCUUCAUUUCAAUUUUACUUUUAACCCUUGGGACUGAAAAACGAAGAUAAUCAAACACUAGUAAAAAUUUCCUUUGUUAUUUCUAAAAAAGGAAAAAAAAGAUGGAUGAGGAAGAAAAAUAGAAUGAAAAAGAGCUCAGAAAAAAACUAUGGGUAGAGAGACUUAUCAGCACAAAUUAAAAUCAGCGUGGUGCAUGACUUUCUCUAAUUUUCUCAUCAUCGCCCAAAUUAUACGAUAAGAAAUGAAAUUUGAAACAAAAUUAAUAACAAAAUAAUGAACCUGCAGACUAAUCUGAGAAAUCCCAUGGAAGUAACAUGGAAGCUCUUGGCGGAGGCACUUUGCUAGAUUUGACACUUUAUAAAGGGAAGAAGGAGC